GCCCGGGGCAGAGGGCGGGGCCUAGUGGGGUCCCGGAUGCGGCAGACGCCUGGAGCGGGAGAGAACACUUCGCUUCUGAUGCUUGUGGUCACCAAAUGUGUGGAGGUUUUUCCCCCACACAAUUCUCUCUAACACCAGCUCAAGUCUGACACCAUCGACCCAGAGAUGGGACCAGACCCUACAGGAUAAGGGCUCAGCCCCACAAGACUGCCCCGACCUCCACUUCAGCUGCCACUGUCCCCUGUGCUUCUGACUGACUCACUACAGAUGGGAGGCUCCCAUGAGCCCCUCCUAAGAAUUAACGUCCCAAAUGCAGCUUCAAACCAGGAAAUGAUGCACCGAGACUGGUUUGGAACAACAGGAGCAGCCCCCUCCGCUCUGCAGAGAACGGGACGGGCGGGGCAAAGCGGCAGAAGCCCCAUCGUGGGAUCGCACGUGGGAGCCUCACUCUCACCCUCACCCUCCUCCAGAGGCCUGUAUCGUCCUUCUCUCCUCCUUCACUGGUUACUCAGAAGACGUGGGGUCUUCCCCUCCCAGCCACGGCUAACCGGCUAACCGGCCCGCCCCGCGCUCUUGACCUCUGGCUGCCACCUGUGGGGGGUGGACCCUGGGCAUGUAUAUCCUGCGGGUUCUGUUUCUCUGGGGAAUCCCGAUGGGUCCAUAGGCUGUGAGGUUAUGUUUCUUUCAAAGUUCAUCCUGUUAGACAACAGUAAGGUUUGGACACUCAUUUUUCAGGCUCAAUUAGACUUUUAUUUUUUGGUUGGAGUAUAAGGGAAAAAACCACAUCACCUCUAAGUUAAUAUUUAAAUGUGUUCAUUUUAUUU